CCCUGCACCCUAUGCUGGGGCCGGGGGCAGACCCUUUAUUCUCCCUGCUUGUGCUGUGCAGGCAGAGCUGGCACAGGGCUGGCAGCCACCUGUAACAAGUUACCUAACACCCAGCUUUAAGCAGGGAAUUCAGUAAGGCAAUUUGACCUGCUGUAUUAUUCAGCAGCUGGGGAUUUAUCAGGCUCCGGGGGCCUGGAGGUUCCUACUUGUCAUCCCAGCACCUGUCAGGAGGGAGGGCAGCGGAGCCAGGGCCUUUGGCUGGUUCUUGCCGUGGUGGUGCAGUGACCACUUGGAGGGGUGACCAAGUACUAGGCACUCAGCACCCAGAUGCUGGGGAUUGCAUGUGGCCCUGUGGCUGUUUACACCCUUGAGCAGUGCACAUUUACAGCCCUGGGGACUGUGCCAUGCCAGCCCCAUGCUGCCUGCAGGCAGAGCCAGGGCUCCAAGGCAGCAAGGCUGCUGCUGAGUCCAGGCAGCUCUGUGGAACUCCAGUGCUGAGCAGAAGACACGGAUGGGGAGGACUGGAACUAGAUAAACAUUGCAAACCCAGCAGUGUUUGCCACCAGAGGUCACAGUGUUUGUGGGUGAUACAGAAGGCUGCAAUAAACCAUUCUCGAAGGCUGGCUUGGAUUAAACUUCUUCACAUGGGACUGCACCACUCCCCAUGAAUUGCAAUGAGCUCUUCUAAACCUUCCCUUCUGCUGUAGGCACGAGUGCUGCAGGGGAAUAACACCCAAAGCUCCCAACCAGACAGAACAAACAGGAGGUAAGCUUACAACAUGAAAACUGCGAUAUCACACUGAAAGUGCAGCUCUGUUCCCUGAGACUCAGGGGGAGAGGAGGGUGCUGAGCGGAGCCGCAAUGCUCGAUGGAAGGUACUGCAGGUCCAUGUUUUGGGACUGGCCACAGGACAGGGAAGUGCCAGCAGUAGAACAAGGCAUUAUCUGGAGUUGAUGGGGAGAAAAUGCUGAGGAUGGAGCUCUUAGGAUCACCUUUCUUGAUGCUUGCAUGGCCCCUCACUGAGGAUGCAGGGAGGUUUCUUCUCCCCCUCGGGGUUUGCAGCCACGGGCCCUUUCUUAAAGGCAAUUUCUUGUGAUUCUUCUUUUGAUGCUUUGUUUACUGUUCAAGUUGUUUUUCAGCUGGAAAUAGAGAGUAAAGCAGAUUCUUAAUUAUUUUAUUUUUUUUUAAAUACCCCAACAAUGAGAAUUUGUCCAGAGAGCAGAGACCCCUGCUCAACACCUUCAGCAUAAGGAGAAUCUCAUUCAUUGUCUUCGAAUUUAGGUACCAGCACUCCCCAGAGCCUUGCAGCAAAACCUUUAAUAAAACAUCCCUGCUCUGUUGAGAAAGUCGUUUUUCAGGGUGAUUAAAUAUCUAAAAAGUAGAGUGGUUUAGAAACGGAGAUUUACUGUCAUCUCUGAUCUCCUAGCAAUGGAGUGCUGUGAAAAACAUUUUGUUGUCCAAUCUCCUCAUGAUAACGCAGAAUUAAGAGUUUUGGUGAAUGCUUUGUUUGUUUGUUUGUUUGUUUGUUGCAAAAAGCAAUUGCAGUGCAGCUUUCCUACAGAACCCAUUAGCUUCCUUCUGCGAGGAGGGCAGAGGAUCUGGCUGGAAGUCACCACCUGUAUUCUCACCAGGCCUGGAGGGAUGUUCAGCAGGACUCAUCUGCACCUGUGGAGGACAAAUUAACAUCACCUGUUUGUAAGGAGAUGUCCUGUUUGACCUAGGUCAUAGCCGUCACCAGCUGGGGACAGUCACCAUGCUUGGGAGCAUUUCUGCACCAGGGCCACUCCUGCCCUCAUGUCCUUCAUCCUCCUCCUCCUCCUCCUGUCAGACUGCAAGCUUCUGGCACUCCCCUUCCUAUGACACCUGGCAAACGAGGCUGCCCGUCCCUGCCCCUUGCAAUUAGAUCAGGCCACUGCAGCAAGUAAAGCGUUAACAAUAACAGACCUGCCUCAAGAUUACCAUAAUGGAGAUUUCUAUUUCAAAAGAGGUGUCAGCUACCUGCCUUUGUCUUUUUCUGUACAUUAAAUAUUGAAUAUCCAGCCAGUAUAAUGCAAAACUUAAAAGACCUUGAGUUCAAGCCGUUAUGCCCCAGUAAAUCAGAAACUCCCAGCAAACUCCCAAGCUUCUCACCCACUGUCAGGUUUGAAGAACAAGCAGCCAUUGCCCAUGGGUGCUUGCUGGAUGUUUCUCCAGCCCUCACUCACCUUCUGUAUCACCCUGUGUGAUGGGGGAUGCCAGGAAGGUGGAGAUGCUCUCACCAGUUUCCUUGGGCUCCUUUGCCCAGAAAUGAGAAGGUGGUUCUCUGUCCAAAUCAAUAGAAGAGGUUAAUUAAAUUCCUCUGUACAGCAGCAGACAACAACCUCCUCCCCAGUCACUGUGUGUGUGUGCAAUCUUUGCUCACCUUGUCCAGACCUGUCUCUGGUUAAAAGUGCACUGGUUUUUGGGGUUCCACAUGUGGCUGCAUAGUCCUUCCCUGCCCUGUGCUUUGCUGCUGUGUACCAACAGCCAUGGAUAGCAGCAGCUCAAGGAGCUGAGCAAGUCCCCAGGGUUCGUGCUGCCUCCAAGAGGAAACGCCCAGGCUGCCAGCAGCUGCUGUCCCACUUAGAGAAGCUAAUAGCCCCCAGGAAUGCUGCAGACAAGGGAUUCAAAUAAAGAUGCCUCAUAAAAAGCACGGUUUUCAAGUACUGUACUCAGUAAUAAAAACUAAAUUAGCUUAAAACUUGCGUAACAAUGGCUUGCAGAUAGCUUGGCUCUCCUGCUGCCCCAGCACUGGCUACUGGCAGCUCCCUCCUGCCUCUGGUCCCCUAUGGCCACCAAAACUCCCCUAAAAAGCCAUGUGAAGGUACCCCUGGGACUUGUGUCCCACUG